rnacentral:rRNA from 1 species
GUGCUUAACACAUGCAAGUCGAACGGUGACGAUGGAGCUUGCUCUGUCUGAUCAGUGGCGAACGGGUGAGUAACACGUGAGUAACCUGCCCCCGACUCUGGAAUAACCGUGGGAAACGACGGCUAAUACCGGAUAUGAGACGCACAGGCAUCUGUGGGUCUGGAAAGAUUUAUCGGUCAGGGAUGGACUCGCGGCCUAUCAGCUUGUUGGUGGGGUAAUGGCCUACCAAGGCGACGACGGGUAGCCGGCCUGAGAGGGCGACCGGCCACACUGGGACUGAGAUACGGCCCAGACUCCUACGGGAGGCAGCAGUGGGGAAUAUUGCACAAUGGGCGCAAGCCUGAUGCAGCGACGCCGCGUGAGGGAUGAAGGCCUUCGGGUUGUAAACCUCUUUCAGCAGGGAAGAAGCGAAAGUGACGGUACCUGCAGAAGAAGCGCCGGCUAACUACGUGCCAGCAGCCGCGGUAAUACGUAGGGCGCAAGCGUUGUCCGGAAUUAUUGGGCGUAAAGAGCUCGUAGGCGGUUUGUCGCGUCUGCUGUGAAAACCUGAGGCUCAACCUCGGGCUUGCAGUGGGUACGGGCAGACUAGAGUGCGGUAGGGGUGACUGGAAUUCCUGGUGUAGCGGUGGAAUGCGCAUAUAUCAGGAGGAACACCGAUGGCGAAGGCAAGUUCACUGGGCCCAAC